rnacentral:lncRNA from 1 species
ACUCAAAUAUCAUGACGAAAAACUCGGAAAAACAUCCGAUCUAGGUCAAAGCCAUCAUCGACCAUAAGGUCUCAGAAAAAGCCCUAGAAAAUCACAAAAAGAGUUCAACCAAGACAAGGAGAUGUAGAGAAACACAAUCGGAUCGUCGUCUAGGCUUUGAUACCAUGUAAACAUUGAUAUUAGACCGAGAAAUCAUAGAAAAUCUAGAGAGAGAAAGUAG